CUGGAAAUCUUGUGUCUUUAAUUCCAGGCAUCUCCCUGUAUUUGACAAGGGAAGAUAUCUUGCAGGAUGUUGGAAGAUUUCUUGUUGGAGGUUGGAUGCAUGCUUAAGUCCUAGACAUAUAUUCAGAUAUUAGUAUUUAAGUAAUUAGUAUUUAAGUUUUGUGAACACAAGCUGCUUUGGCAAGGAAAAUGCUAUACAGCUCCAUGGUAUCCAAGUGAGAUUUAUUCUUCUAGCAUGAGGUACUAGUAAAUUGGCUGUUGACCUAUCUAGCUUUUUGAUAAUGACAUUAUGAUUGGUAAGUCUGAAUACCUUGGUAAGAGCAACAAACCUGAGCUCAGAGUUUCUCCUGAUGUUUCUGAAAUCCCCAAGUGGAUUAAUUUAUGCUUAGGAUGUUCUUUCAAGGGUGUGCCAUUAAGUAUGCUGUUGCUAACAUAACGUCAGAAGCUUUAGAGGUAAGCUGCAACUUUUCAGCAAGCUUAAAACUCCUGCAGCUUUGCUCUGUAAGGAAGGUGGAAGGUCAGUGCUCAGAACAGAGAGCCCUAACCUGCUGUUCCUCUCUUCUCAUAUCUAAGCAAAAUUUCAUAGGGGAAAUUAAGAAAAAAAAAAUUAUGUUUUGACCUUUUCCUUUAGAAAUUACAGAGGGGGAGUUCUUUAUAUUGCUUUGUACAGAGCCAUCAUCCUCUUGGCUAAUGCCCUCCCAGGCUGCCCUCAGGACAGCAGUGUAGCUAUAUGCUGGCUGCUGAACUACUGAAGGCAAACAAACUUAUCCUUGCCAGAGAGGAGGGACAGCAGAGACCCACGGGAGCCACAGGGUGCUUUGUCCUGCUCCCCAGGCACUUGGGUUAACUGGGCCUUCGUGGUUCCCUUGCUGUGCAGCUGACUUCUUUUGGGAUGGGAGAUCAGCUUUGCAGGCACUGAACGAGAAAAAGCAGUACCCAGUUUACCUAGAUAUUUGGCAUCACUGACAUCCUGGAGCAAUAAAUUCCAAUUGCAUAACAAGAUUUAUAUCUGACACUUCCUGACACAGGUCUUCUCUAACUGCAGAAUCUGCACUCAUACUGCAGGACCUAUUAAUGCUAAGAAUUUCACUGUUGUAAUUUUCACUGUUUUUUUUUUUUUCUGGAUUUUACUGCACUCUGGUUUUUCAUUCACUACUUGCAUGGUUUAUAGAUUACUGUGUAACCUGGGCUUUGUAUUUGAACUCAUCAGGAUCUUGGCAAAAGUGUAAAACCAGCAUAUUGAAUAAUUGUUGGAAAGUUGUCACCAGCAGUUCCCAAACGUUUUCUGAGUACUCCAGCUGAUUUAGUAAGAUCCCUGAAUGUGUCCUGAUAUCUAUUUAUCUGAUUAUAUUUCAGAAUUAUAACUCUGAAAUGUGUAUUAAUGGUUAAUUUAGCAUUAGCCAAAGAAAAUUGAUUAUCAAUGAGGUAAUAGCUGUCGUGGGGGUAAAAUUCUAGUUUUUACUUACAAUAUUUGAAAUUUAGUGGUCCUAAUUUGUUUUAAGCCCUUAAAAUCAUGCAGCCUUGCAGAGUUCUGGCCAUCUUUGCUAAUAAAGUGAACAUGGGUAUCUUUGCCAACUUAAUUCCAAACUUUGUUCUCAACCAUAAAUCAAUAUUAACUAAUCCCUGAAUUAAUCUGCAGUUUAAAGGAGUCAGGCACCCUGUGGUGGCUGGAGGUUGCUUUCUGCUGCUGGGAAGCAGCCUAAGAUUAUGGUGGUGGGAGGGGCUGAAGGUGGAAGAAUGGUGUCUACAUGUGACCACCAGCAGAGACACAUCUCGGAGUUACCCUGCUGAGCAGAACCAGCAGGCAUCCAUGAACAGCAAAGAGCUUUUCCAGGAUCACACAAGUCUGAGAGCAACUCUGCCUUCCAAUAUGGGUCCAGCUGGCCAUAUUUAAACACUUGUCUAAGUACAUGAACUGCAUUAGGGUGAUUCCUUUAUUUUCUCUGUAUCCUGCUGAUGUUCUUUUCCGGUUUGCAAAUACAAUUCAACAAAUAUUAAAUAAGACAACUAGAGAAGAGCUUCUGAAUUUUCAAGGUCUGUUUUCUGCUAUCACAAUAAACACAUUUUUUUCA